rnacentral:tRNA from 1 species
AAAACUUUACUACCAGAGGUUCAACUCCUCUUCUUAACA